GAAUUUUGGACAAUGGGCGAAAGCCUGAUCCAGCAAUGCCGCGUGCAGGAUGAAGGCCUUCGGGUUGUAAACUGCUUUUGUAUGGAACGAAAAGCUUUGGGUUAAUACCCUGGAGUACUUACGUUACCGUACGAAUAAGAACCGCCUAACUACUGACCCCAAGCCGCGGCAAUAGGUAGGGGGCAAACGCUAACCGGAUUUACUGGGCGGAAAGGGGGCGCGGGCGGUUUUGUAAGACAGAGGUGAAAUCCCCGGGCUCAACCUGGGAGCUGCCUUUGUGACUGAAAGGCUAGAGUACGGCAGAGGGGGGUGGAAUUCCGGGUGUAGCAGUGAAAUGCGUAGAUAUGCGGAGGAACACCGAUGGCGAAGGCAACCCCCUGGGCCUGUACUGACGCUCAUGCACGAAAGCGUGGGGAGCAAACA
rnacentral:rRNA from 1 species